rnacentral:rRNA from 1 species
AUUGAACGCUGGCGGCAGGCCUAACACAUGCAAGUCGAACGAGUGGCGGACGGGUGAGUAAUGUCUGGGAAACUGCCCGAUGGAGGGGGAUAACUACUGGAAAAGGUAGCUAAUACCGCAUACCAUCGGAUGUGCCAAGAUGGGAUUAGCUUGUAGGUGUGGGAACGGCUCACCUAGGCGACGAUCCCUAGCUGGUCUGAGCGGAUGACCAGCCACACUGUAACUGACACCCGGUCCAGAUACCUACGGGAGGCAGCAUUUGGGAAUAUUGCACAAGGGGCGCAAUCCGGACGCAGCCACGCCUCGUGUAUUAUGCAGGCCUUCGGGUGGUAAAGUACUUUCCGUGUGGAGGCGUUACCCUCAGAAUACGCCCCGGCUAACUCCGUGCCAGCAGCCGCGGUAAUAC